UACGGAGGGUGCAAGCGUUAUCCGGAUUUACUGGGUUUAAAGGGUGCGUAGGCGGAUAAGUAAGUCAGUGGUGAAAUCUCCGGGCUUAACCCGGAAACUGCCAUUGAUACUAUUUAUCUUGAAUACUUUGGAGGUAAGCGGAAUAUGUCAUGUAGCGGUGAAAUGCUUAGAUAUGACAUAGAACACCAAUUGCGAAGGCAGCUUACUACACAGUAAUUGACACUGAGGCACGAAAGCGUGGGGAUCAAACAGG
rnacentral:rRNA from 1 species